rnacentral:rRNA from 1 species
CAGCCGCCGCGGUAAUACAGAGGGUGCGAGCGUUAAUCGGAUUUACUGGGCGUAAAGCGUGCGUAGGCGGCUUCUUAAGUCGGAUGUGAAAUCCCUGAGCUUAACUUAGGAAUUGCAUUCGAUACUGGGAAGCUAGAGUACGGUAGAGGGUGGUGGAAUUUCCUGUGUAGCGGUGAAAUGCGUAGAUAUAGGAAGGAACACCAGUGGCGAAGGCGACCACCUGGACUGAUACUGACACUGAGGUGCGAAAGCGUGGGGAGCAAACAGGAUUAGAUACCCCAGUAGUCCCUGUCUCUUAUAC